rnacentral:tRNA from 1 species
GCCCCUAUCGUCUAGAGGUUAGGACACCGCUCUUUCAAGGCGGAGACACGGGUUCAAUUCCCGUUGGGGGUACCA